GAUGAACGCUGGCGGCGUGCCUAAUACAUGCAAGUCGAGCGAACAGACGAGGAGCUUGCUCCUCUGACGUUAGCGGCGGACGGGUGAGUAACACGUGGAUAACCUACCUAUAAGACUGGGAUAACUUCGGGAAACCGGAGCUAAUACCGGAUAAUAUAUUGAACCGCAUGGUUCAAUAGUGAAAGACGGUUUUGCUGUCACUUAUAGAUGGAUCCGCGCCGCAUUAGCUAGUUGGUAAGGUAACGGCUUACCAAGGCGACGAUGCGUAGCCGACCUGAGAGGGUGAUCGGCCACACUGGAACUGAGACACGGUCCAGACUCCUACGGGAGGCAGCAGUAGGGAAUCUUCCGGAAUGGGCGAAAGCCUGACGGAGCAACGCCGCGUGAGUGAUGAAGGUCUUCGGAUCGUAAAACUCUGUUAUUAGGGAAGAAAAAAUGUGUCAGUAACUAUGCACGUCUUGACGGUACCUAAUCAGAAAGCCACGGCUAACUACGUG
rnacentral:rRNA from 1 species